rnacentral:guide_RNA from 1 species
UAACAUAAACUAAUCUGUCGAGAUACC